rnacentral:lncRNA from 1 species
GCUCAUUCAAGUCGAAUCAGAAUUCUCCAUUAUUUAUUUAUAUAAUAUUUACAUAUUUAGGAUAUCUGCUUCUAAAAGCAAAACAAGGCUUCAUAAAGAUGUCUGUUUGGUAAAUAAAAUUCCCUGAAAAAAAUGUGAAGUUGUCCCUCAAAAAAAUGGCAAAGUUCUUAUGGAAAUUAUGUUUGUUUUAGGCUCUGCCACCACUAACUAAGCUGAAGCCCAGCCAGUCUCUUUUACAUCUUAAACCACUAGAAAGAACAGGCCUGGGAGGGAUGUGUGGAAGUUCAGAGGCUCUGGAGACGAGAAAAGGAUUUACACACUUCAAUGUCAAAGUUCAACAGGGCAUGGCGGCCCCUAAAGAUGGCACUGAAAUAGCAGAUACGCACAGAGUUCUGUCGGCCGAGAAUGCCAAAACAUGGAGAAACCUCAUAGAUGGCUUGACAUGCAGCCCCAAUGGGAAAGGACACAGGGAAAUUUGAGAUGUUUCCUGUAACUGAAAAUGGAUGAUUUAGAGGUCAUGUUAAACCAUCUGAACAAUGAGUUUUGGUCAUCAUUAUAUCUAAGGCAAACAAAGAGAGCCAUAUAGUAGAAUGUUUUUGGUGUUAUUAAGGAAAAUCACACUGUAACUGUGAAAUUAGUCCCUGACUUAUUACCGACAUAUUAGUGUUUCAAUACUACUAGAUCGCCCAUGUGGGUGCUUAAUUUCACAAACAUUUGAAAGAAUCUGAUUAAGAUAGGCUAUUAUGGGCUGGGGAUGUGGCUCAAGCGGUAGCGUGCUUGCCUGGCAUGCGCGGGGCGCUGGGGUCGACCCUCAGCACCACAUAAAAGUGAAAUGGAGAUGUUGUGUCCACCGAAAAACUAAAAAAUAAAUAUUAAAA